rnacentral:lncRNA from 1 species
GGAAAAAAAGCUUUGCAUGAGUCACAUAUGCAAAAUUGCAAAGUAUGUAAACGCUCCAAAAAAAAUUCGGCUUUUCCUUUCUCUGUCUCAACACAAUGGAUCGUACCUUUUCUUCCUAUCAAGAUAAAUACAAGUAUAUAGAUUAUGCACAAACUUGCACAUUAAUCUUCAAUUAUCCCAUCUUCUCAAAAAAAAAAAAAAAACCUACAAUUAUCCCAAACCCAAAUUGCGUUUCGCCUUUUAUGAUUAAACCCAAACUUGUAUCCAUACAUUAAACAUUGAUUAAGUAUCAAGGUGUGUGUAUAUAUAUAAAACCAUUUUCAUACUCUCGAUCGAUCUUUCAGAUUAACUCAUAAAGAUGAUUCAACGAUAAAAACUACGUGUAACGUGUUACUCUGUUACCUAAAUUUAUGUAACAUGUUGUAUGUAGAAUGUUAAUAUGAAACAUGGAUGAAUUUUUUACAUUACCUCUUUAGGCGGUUGCGGUUGGGUUUAUAUCUAAUUUUCUCAAAUAUAUAUAUAUAGAGGAUGUAGAGCAGACGUCCGCACUCGGCUUAAAGUAAGUGCGGACGUCCAUCCGUUCUCCACCCUCCGGCGUGGGCGACGGCAUGUCUUCACCCCAGAAGACUUCAGCAGCGUCCCCGACCACUUCCCUCCCCAGCGAGUCCGUUUUUUUCCAGUUUCCGGCGAGAUCGACUUUGUUUGAAGUUUUGGAUGAUCUCGCCGGAAAACCGGAAAAGAAUGGACUCGCCAGGGAGGGAAAGUAGUCGGGGCCGCUGCUUGAGUCUUCUGGGGUGGAGGCGUGCCGUCGCCGGCGCCGGAGAGUGUAGAACGGACGAACGUCCUCACUUUAAGGCCUGUGCGGACGUCCGCUCCACAUCCGGACUAUAAGUAUAUAUAUAUAUUAUGAGUAAGAUUUAGAAAGUUAUAUAUUUGACCUAUUUUCUUCAGUAAUUACUCUCACUUAAGUUUCUAGCUCCUCGUGAUUGGAUGGUUUUCAUGUAGGGUUCUUAUAUCAACGAUAAGGCAAUAUAUAACGACGUUUUCCUGUCGAGGAUUAACUUAACAUUAUCACUACAUAUUCUGGUCGAUCACAUGCAUUUUCUACUCAAAUAAGUGAAAUAACUGAAACAUCUGGGGGGACAAUAAUGACUACGAGUCUUCAUUUUAAGUCAGCAUAAUUCCAAGAGGUGAUUAAGGUAAUGCAAAUUAUAUCAGUCAAAUAUGUCCGCAAAUUCGGGUUUUGAAAAGAAAAAGAAAGUAGAACGAUAACAACAUUUUAAGAAUAAUGGUUUGUGUGUACAAAGUAGAAAAAUUAAAAGUAGCUGGCCUUAAUUUGUUGAUGUAUUUAGAUUGAGCUAUAUAUAUUCGAUCUUUAUAAAAAGAAAACGUCUUCGAUCUCCUAUUUGAUCACGAAAAGCACUUAUGCAAUAGAUCAUUUUCUUUGCUAGCUAGUAUAUAAACUAUAGCUAAUAAUAAUAGUAUAUAUAUAAGAUGAUCGAGGACAAAAACCUAGCUAAAAGAUUAGUUUUAAAUACGUAAUCG